rnacentral:rRNA from 1 species
UACGUAGGGGGCAAGCGUUGUCCGGAAUCAUUGGGCGUAAAGCGCGCGUAGGCGGCCCUGUAAGUCCGUUGUGAAAGUCAAAGGCUCAACCUUUGAAAGCCGAUGGAUACUGCAGGGCUAGAGUCCGGAAGAGGCGAGUGGAAUUCCUGGUGUAGCGGUGGAAUGCGCAGAUAUCAGGAGGAACACCGGUGGCGAAGGCGGUUCUCUGGGCCUUACCUGACGCUGAGGAGCGAAAGCGUGGGGAGCGAACAGG